GACGAACGCUGGCGGCGUGCCUAAUACAUGCAAGUCGAACGAACUCUGGUAUUGAUUGGUGCUUGCAUCAUGAUUUACAUUUGAGUGAGUGGCGAACUGGUGAGUAACACGUGGGAAACCUGCCCAGAAGCGGGGGAUAACACCUGGAAACAGAUGCUAAUACCGCAUAACAACUUGGACCGCAUGGUCCGAGCUUGAAAGAUGGCUUCGGCUAUCACUUUUGGAUGGUCCCGCGGCGUAUUAGCUAGAUGGUGGGGUAACGGCUCACCAUGGCAAUGAUACGUAGCCGACCUGAGAGGGUAAUCGGCCACAUUGGGACUGAGACACGGCCCAAACUCCUACGGGAGGCAGCAGUAGGGAAUCUUCCACAAUGGACGAAAGUCUGAUGGAGCAACGCCGCGUGAGUGAAGAAGGGUUUCGGCUCGUAAAACUCUGUUGUUAAAGAAGAACAUAUCUGAGAGUAACUGUUCAGGUAUUGACGGUAUUUAACCAGAAAGCCACGGCUAACUACGUGCCAGCAGCCGCGGUAAUACGUAGGUGGCAAGCGUUGUCCGGAUUUAUUGGGCGUAAAGCGAGCGCAGGCGGUUUUUUAAGUCUGAUGUGAAAGCCUUCGGCUCAACCGAAGAAGUGCAUCGGAAACUGGGAAACUUGAGUGCAGAAGAGGACAGUGGAACUCCAUGUGUAGCGGUGAAAUGCGUAGAUAUAUGGAAGAACACCAGUGGCGAAGGCGGCUGUCUGGUCUGUAACUGACGCUGAGGCUCGAAAGUAUGGGUAGCAAACAGGAUUAGAUACCCUGGUAGUCCAUACCGUAAACGAUGAAUGCUAAGUGUUGGAGGGUUUCCGCCCUUCAGUGCUGCAGCUAACGCAUUAAGCAUUCCGCCUGGGGAGUACGGCCGCAAGGCUGAAACUCAAAGGAAUUGACGGGGGCCCGCACAAGCGGUGGAGCAUGUGGUUUAAUUCGAAGCUACGCGAAGAACCUUACCAGGUCUUGACAUACUAUGCAAAUCUAAGAGAUUAGACGUUCCCUUCGGGGACAUGGAUACAGGUGGUGCAUGGUUGUCGUCAGCUCGUGUCGUGAGAUGUUGGGUUAAGUCCCGCAACGAGCGCAACCCUUAUUAUCAGUUGCCAGCAUUAAGUUGGGCACUCUGGUGAGACUGCCGGUGACAAACCGGAGGAAGGUGGGGAUGACGUCAAAUCAUCAUGCCCCUUAUGACCUGGGCUACAUACGUGCUACAAUGGAUGGUACAACGAGUUGCGAACUCGCGAGAGUAAGCUAAUCUCUUAAAGCCAUUCUCAGUUCGGAUUGUAGGCUGCAACUCGCCUACAUGAAGUCGGAAUCGCUAGUAAUCGCGGAUCAGCAUGCCGCGGUGAAUACGUUCCCGGGCCUUGUACACACCGCCCGUCACACCAUGAGAGUUUGUAACACCCAAAGUCGGUGGGGUAACCUUUUAGGAACCAGCCGCCUAAGGUGGGACAGAUGAUUAGGGUG
rnacentral:rRNA from 2 species